rnacentral:misc_RNA from 1 species
AACGCACAUUGCGCCCUUUGGCAUUCCGAAGGGCAUGCCUGUUCGAGCGUCAUUAUCAACCCUCAAGCCCGGCUUGUUUGUUGGACCUCGCACCGAUCUUUAACCGUCGGUGGGUCUGAAAGAUAAUGGCAGAGUCGGCUGGACCCUGGAUGCAGCGAGCUUUAUUUCAGCACGCAUCCACGAUGGUCCUCCGGGCUCGGUCUUGACCGGAUUUUUUGUUAAAUCUACUUCUAUGGUUGACCUCGGAUCAGGUAGGGACACCCGCUGAACUUAA